CCUACGGGUGGCAGCAGUGGGGAAUAUUGCGCAAUGGGCGAAAGCCUGACGCAGCGACGCCGCGUGAGGGAUGAAGGUUUUCGGAUCGUAAACCUCUGUCAGAAGGGAAGAAGUUGCAUGGGGCCAAUCACCUGUGCAUUGACGGUACCUUCAAAGGAAGCACCGGCUAACUCCGUGCCAGCAGCCGCGGUAAUACGGAGGGUGCGAGCGUUAAUCGGAAUUAAUGGGCGUAAAGCGCACGUAGGCUGUAUGUCAAGUCAAGGGUGAAAUCCCACGGCUCAACCGUGGAACUGCCUUUGAAACUGGCAAACUGGAGUAUGUGAGAGGGCGGCGGAAUUCCUGGUGUAGGAGUGAAAUCCGUAGAUAUCUGGAGGAACAUCAGUGGCGAAGGCGACUAUCUGGCACAUAACUGACGCUGAGGAGCGAAAGCGUGGGUAGCAAACAGGAUUAGAUACCCCAGUAGUC
rnacentral:rRNA from 1 species